CCAUUCCACUUUUUCUCAAAUUAGAUGAAUGUAACAUUGAACACCAGUUUCAGUUGAAAAAAACACCACAAAAAAAAAGAAAAAAAAUCAGUAACCUAGAUAAAAGACUAACAGGAUGUUCGUAUGCAUUUCUUCUGCGAUUUUCUUCUACAGCAAACCAGUGUUGUCCCCCCAUGAAAUACCAAUUACGUUCUUCCCCCAUGAAAUACCAGUUACAUAGAAGAAAGACCUAACGCCGUAUUGAUAUUCUUAUAGGGAUUCGUCGAUUGAAGGAAAGCUUGGGUUGUUAAUUAGGAUUUUGAUGCUUUUUGUGUUUGUGUUGUAGGGAUUCGUCGAUUAAAGGAAAGCUUGGGUUUUUGAACAGUGGAUUGCAAACAAAUUCAAUUUAGGGUCUAGGGUUUCGUCUAUUGGAAUAAAGCUUGGGUAUUUCAUACAAUUUGGGGUUUAGGUACGAUUUUUGUCCAAGAUAAGUCAUGGAGAAACCCCAAUAGCCAUUCAAGAAAAAAUUUCAGUACUUCACAAUUCAGUUGGUAAUUCAUAUUAAUGAAUCAUGCUUCCAAUGUUCACUACACCAUCAGCACCAUCGUAGCCAUCUCCACCAUCAAAACAAGUUCACCACCAAGCUACACAGCCAUUAUCAAUUUACUUCAGUCAAACUUUGGAUGCCAAAAUGAACAGAACAUCUCAUUCUAAGUGAACGAUUAGUUGAAGCAUUUCACAACGCUACCCUGCUUGCAUCACUUAUCCAUCAAUCCUGCAAAUAUGUCAAACAUUUAGUAGAAGAAAAAGACCUAACAGGAUAAAAGAUAGAAAAAAAAAAGCAGUAACCUAGAUAAAAGACCUAACAGGAUGUUCGUAUGCAUUUCUUCUGCGAUUUUCUUCUGAAGAAAACCAGUGUUGUUCCCCCAUGAAAUACCAGUUAUGUUCUUCCCCCAUGAAGAGGCACCGGCUAAGAGGAAAACGGAUCGACCAAAGAAGGGAGAAAGCAGGACAAGCAGCGCGCAUAUGGUCCUUUCAAAUGAUCCAUUCGCUCCUUCGCAACAUGAGGAUCCAAUCGAUCAUUUUCAAGAAAGUCAAGCGCCAAACAAUCUAAUCGUUCCUUCCCAAUAGAGCCAAGCGAGUACAGCACGAGUAUCAAGGAUACGUGCAUGGAAGGGACAAGCAAGACAAAAGGGUUCUAUGGUGACUAUAAGGGCCGCUCUUGGUGAUGGAAGCACGCUUAGGGAUGAACGCGGUAGACCCCAUCGAACGUGUUAAACCAUAUUCGAGGAAUAUUACUCGAAACUUCCUGAAAUCGUUAAGCCCUAAGUGUUAUCAACCGACGACGUGGAUGUGGAUGGGAAUUGUGGUUAUCACGUUGCGUCGGAACAAAUAGGCCAUAUAAGUUUGGCGGACGAUGAGAACCUAACCCAAUGUCAAUACUUUAGAAAGAUGAUGGCCUUGCGCUUACAAGAAGACAAGGAAUCUUACAUUUCGAUGAUGAAGGAAGGAAAAACAAGACAAGACAAAGAAGUGAUUUUUGGAAAAAUGGUUGCUAGAGUACAAGGGCCAAAGUGGAAUAAACCAAUUAUCCGACAAUAUUGGAUGUGUAUGCCUCUAUGUGGUCAUCUCUUGGCGGAAACGUGGAGUUGGAUUGUUCAUCUAUUUGGUAAGGGAUCAUGCUACACAUACACACCAAAAUACACCAUUUGGGAUGAAUCUUUUAAGGAUCGGAGAAUUGAUUUAUUCAACAAUAACAACAUGCAUUAUAUCGGUCUUAGAAUACGUGAUGAUUUUCCAUUACCACCGGUAGAUGGGUUUCAUGAGGUCUCGGAGGUCACCAAGGAGUGGCUAAAAAAAUACGUCCCAAUAUGAGGCGAUGAGAGGAAUUGAUCGUGCCGGAUCAAUUCGAAGGUCUACAUUUGUUGGAAUGAGUAUUUUCCUUAUGUUAAAAACUUGAUCUAUCAGAUGCUUAUACUUUGUCUCUUUCUUAUAUUGUAUUUUGCAUACUUGAACCAAGCUUAGUGAAUGAAAGUGAUUUGUUUUUUUUUGGUACGUUGGACUC